CUUCUCUUCUCAGUGACAAUACCUCCUGCUGCACUGAAGGUCCUUUCUGACAGGACACUUGAAGUGGGGCAGGCCAGAAGUUCUAUCGCAAAUUGGGAUAGCUCAGGCCACAGGUCAAGCCUGCACACCCAGUAGUGAAGGGGUUCAUCGCUCCUCAGAGUGUCGAUAUCUGCAGUUAAGGCGAGGUAGUCUGCUACCUGUCGGUCGAGUCGUUCUCUGAGGGUGGAUCCCGAAGGGCUGUGGCGAU